UAGUGGCUGAUUCUCUUUGAGAUCUUGAAGCUAUGAAUAUGUGAAGAACAAGGACAAGAAAAAGAUUUUUAUAUUUUCUUAUCUAGUACUCAAACAGAUUAUGGGCUACCUGAACUUGGAUUGCAUAUUCAGAAAUUAUUUUAAUUUAAAAUUAAUAAUUCCCUUAUGAGACGAUUUGAUAUCUCCAGCCUUGCUCGAACUGGACAGAAACAUUGUACCCAUUUUCUGCUUUCCAGAUAGAAAUAUCUUUUGAUGGUGGUUAUUUUCAAAACUGCAUCCAAAAAAUCAUUGAGUUCUGCUGCUCCCAAUUGAUAUGAGCAGAAAUUGGUCUCAAGACAAAGACAAAGUGGCAAUGAUUCCCAUGACCCAUAUCACAUAGUAUUUGGCAAACAAAGGCAGUAAAGCAAGGAGAGGUCCUGCAGCUUCCCCCCAGCCUGAAAACAGUGAAAUACAUGGACAAACAACAGCAAUGAUGUGGAUGAUAUAGAUUAAGCAAUUUGGUCACACCCACACUGUGUUAAUCUCUGCCCCUUUCUCUGUAGCCAGGACAUCAUUUGUCAACUCAGAUGCCAUUUAGAAUUUCAAAUCAAUGUUAUGGAAAGGAUUCCUACUGUUUUCUUUCAAACAGUAAGAUGUCUAUUGCCAGUCCUACUAUAGGCCCCUAAAGUAGCUGGUGUCCCUCAUUAAUGAGCAAUCAAUAAACCUGAGGCACUUCAGUGAAGGUAGUCCCAUCAAAUAUUUCUGAACUGACUUGGGACCUUGGGAGUGUGAGAGCAUUGUUCCAAACAAAAUUAGUAAAAUGUCUCAAAAAGCCAAACAUUAAAAAAAAAUUAUUCUGCACCAUUUGCUCCUUAUUACACCAAGCCUUCAGAUCUCAGCAGGCUGUCUUUCACAGUUUUUCAGGAAAAUCUCAGAACUCCUUUAAACCUAGGACUUAAUCCUCCUACUUUCUCAUAAUAUGAGAUUUUGGUUUCAUUGUAGAUUAAUUACAAACUUUUCUAGCAGUCCAGUCUUGUAGGUCUGUCAUUUUCCUUGAGUCAUUCAGAGAUGUCUGGUAAUGGAAGCAAAAAGUAGGUACAGGUCCAAGAAAGAAAGCACUUUUUACAGUAGAUAACUCAGAAAUUUUCCACUAAGGAAACAAAAAUAUGCUUGUUGGAUAAUGUUUGUCUCAUUCUUGUUAUAUUUCUUUACACUUAAAAAUAUUUUAGUAUCCGAAGUCCUCCCUUUUGUUUGGCUAGCUUCAUAGAUGAAAAUGUAUUUUGUUAUUCCUUUAUCAUAUCUGUUAUUCUGAUUUUUUUCAAAACAUCUUCUUUAUUAUACUAAUACUUCCUUGCAUUUUGGCAACCCCUUCUUGAAGGGAAGCUAGUCUCUUGGAGAAAUAUGACACAUCCCUAAAAAAAUUAGACUGAUAUCUACAUAAUGUUAAGAUGUCCCACAAUGGAACCAGUUUAUAAUCUCUAUCAAAAUUCAUACAAAAGUCUCAUAGCUAUCCCCUCUAUUGUUCUGUUAAACAUUGAAUAGUUAAACUUGUUCUAGGGAUUUCAUUUUAGUUAAAAAAAGGAUUUAAAUAAUAAAAAACUUUCUUUUUCCUCUUAUAGCACUAAAAUUUCAAAACUUUUUCAUUACACAGACUGUCUCAUUCAAAAAUCCAUCUGAGAUCUGCUGAAAUAUUCCUAUAGAGUUAGUUGACAUAUCUCCUAUUGUACAUUCCAAGUGAAAAUAUUCAGGAUCAUAUCUUUAAAACACUGUCACUUUGAUCACUGCAAGAAUGAACUAUGAGAGCUUGUCAACAAGAGCUCAGUUUUGUAGGUAUUAUGGAAAAAAAAGUAUUUAUUGUCAUAGUCCUUCCUUUGACUCAUGGCACUGUAGAUAUCACCUUUAGUCUUUCCCAGUCACUGCAUGGAACAAGUGAAUUGUCUGAUGUUUUGUUCCAAGAAAAGAUUUUAAAUGAGAUCAUUUUUUCUGCUCACCUAUCUAAUCCACUUUUAACUGCCAAUUCUGUUUUACAUGUUGGUUGUUUGCAUGAACAAAAAUCAAGUUUCAACUACCUCAUGAGUGAAAUAAUCCUGUCUGUGUCAGUACACCAACAUGCUUUGAAAUGUGCACUGGGAAACCAAUGUUGGAAUGUAUCUCAUUUUCCUUGCAUCUUUUUUCAUAUGUGGUACCAAAGGAUAUCAUUCAACCGUGUGUUUUCUCUGAUGUAAAAGCCAUUUUAAGAACAGCUGGACAUUAAUUCCUCCAUCCACGUAACAAGAUAAUGUCUUCUCUGCUUUGUCAACCAUUAGUGAAACUCUACAGUAAGCUAAAUACCUGAAAUAAUUCAGAUAAAAACUCAAAAUUAAAAUCUUUUGCAGCCCAGUCAUAUAGUGGUAACAAAAAAAAA
rnacentral:lncRNA from 1 species